rnacentral:lncRNA from 1 species
AUUGCUUAAAUAUGAAUAUAACGCUACACUUCGCUCAUGAACCACGAUGAAUAUGGAAAGUAGAAUAAAGGAACACAUUACCGCAUAUUAUCUGUCAAACAAACCAAUAGUGUUUCCGAUUCGCACUUUUUUGCAGUGAUCGUUCUAUGAGUGAUUUUUUUUUCAAAAGAAAAUCGAGGCAAGAAUAUAUUUCGGUAACAUUUAUAAAACACAAAGGACUCAAUAAACAAAUAAACGAAAAAAGAGCGACACGACCUUGCAGAAAGAAAAAAAAAAAAAAAGGGGGGAUGUAUUCAGGUGGUACCGUUUGGGUACAGUCUCUUGAAAAUUCCAAUAAAAGAAUAUAACUGAUUGCAUGUUGCUAUUUCUUCUUUUGUUCAUAAUUAAUAUGUAUUUGUAAUAAAAUCGACUGCGGUGCACUCGAUAUGGUUCGACAAGAACCUGUUUUCAUAUCCUAUUCUUUUUCUUUUCGCAUUCACUUAGUAAAAAUAAAACCCAAG